rnacentral:rRNA from 1 species
GUAAUACUCCAUAGUUCGUUAUUACUGGAAUGUUUUUCGAACGAAAGAUCCGUCGCUUCAGGAUGAGUCUGCGGCCGAUUAGGUAGUUGUUGGGGUAAUUGCCCAACAAGCCUGUAAUCGGUACGGGUUGUGGGAGCAAGAGCCCGGAGAUGGAUUCUGAGACACGAAUCCAGGCCCUACGGGGCGCAGCAGGCGCGAAAACUUUACCAUGCGGGCAACCGUGAUAAGGAAACCCCGAGUGCCAGCACAGGCUGGCUGUCCGCCAGUUUAAAAAACUGGUGAGGAAAGGGCCGGGCAAGACCGGUGCCAGCCGCCGCGGUAAUACCGGCGGCUCGAGUGGUGGCCACUAUUACUGGGCUUAAAGGGUCCGUAGCUUGAUAUGCAAGUCUUUUGAGAAAUCCGCCAGCUUAACUGGCGGGCGUUCAGGGGAAACUGCAUUUCUUGGGACCGGGAGAGGUGAGAGGUACUGCCGGGGUAGGAGUGAAAUCCUGUAAUCCCGGUGGGACCACCUAUAGCGAAGGCAUCUCACCAGAACGGGUCCGACAGUGAGGGACGAAAGCUGGGGGAGCAAACCGGAUUAGAUACCCGGGUAGUCCCAGCUGUAAACGAUGCGCGUUAGGUGU